rnacentral:rRNA from 1 species
GACGUAGGGGGCCAGCGUUGUUCGGAAUUCCUGGGUGUAAAGGGUUCGUAGGCGGUGUGGCAAGUCGGGAGUGAAAUCUCUGGGCUCAACCCAGAGUCUGCUUCCGAAACUGCUGUGCUUGAGUGUGGGAGAGGCGCGUGGAAUUGCAGGUGUAGCGGUGAAAUGCGUAGAUAUCUGCAGGAACACCCGUGGCGAAAGCGGCGCGCUGGACCACUACUGACGCUGAGGAACGAAAGCGUGGGGAGCAAACAGG